rnacentral:rRNA from 1 species
GGCGACCGGCGCACGGGUGAGUAACGCGUAUGUAACCUGCCCGCAACAGUGGAAUAACCCGGCGAAAGUCGGACUAAUACCGCAUAAAACAGGGGUCCCGCAUGGGAAUAUUUGUUAAAGAUUUAUCGGUUGCGGAUGGGCAUGCGUACCAUUAGGUAGUUGGUGAGGUAACGGCUCACCAAGCCUUCGAUGGUUAGGGGUUCUGAGAGGAAGGUCCCCCACACUGGUACUGAGACACGGACCAGACUCC